GACGAACGCUGGCGGCGUGCUUAACACAUGCAAGUCGAACGAAGAGCGAUGGAAGCUUGCUUCUAUCAAUCUUAGUGGCGAACGGGUGAGUGACGCGUAAUCAACCUGCCCUUCAGAGGGGGACAACAGUUGGAAACGACUGCUAAUACCGCAUACGAUCUAAUCUCGGCAUCGAGGAUAGAUGAAAGGUGGCCUCUACAUGUAAGCUAUCACUGAAGGAGGGGAUUGCGUCUGAUUAGCUAGUUGGAGGGGUAACGGCCCACCAAGGCGAUGAUCAGUAGCCGGUCUGAGAGGAUGAACGGCCACAUUGGGACUGAGACACGGCCCAGACUCCUACGGGAGGCAGCAGUGGGGAAUCUUCCGCAAUGGACGAAAGUCUGACGGAGCAACGCCGCGUGAGCGAUGACGGCCUUCGGGUUGUAAAGCUCUGUUAAUCGGGACGAAAGGCCUUCUUGCGAAUAGUGAGAAGGAUUGACGGUACCGGAAGAGAAAGCCACGGCUAACUACGUG
rnacentral:rRNA from 1 species